rnacentral:rRNA from 1 species
GUGGGGAAUAUUGGACAAUGGGCGAAAGCCUGAUCCAGCCAUGCCGCGUGUGUGAAGAAGGUCUUCGGAUUGUAAAGCACUUUAAGUUGGGAGGAAGGGCAGUAAGUUAAUACCUUGCUGUUUUGACGUUACCGACAGAAUAAGCACCGGCUAACUUCGUGCCAGCAGCCGCGGUAAUACGAAGGGUGCAAGCGUUAAUCGGAAUUACUGGGCGUAAAGCGCGCGUAGGUGGUUUUGUAAGUUGGAGGUGAAAUCCCCGGGCUCAACCUGGGAACUGCCUCCAAAACUGCAUGACUAGAGUACGGUAGAGGGUAGUUGAAUUUCCUGUGUAGCGGUGAAAUGCGUAGAUAUAGGAAGGAACACCAGUGGCGAAGGCGACUACCUGGACUGAUACUGACACUGAGGUGCGAAAGCGUGGGGAGCAAACAGGAUUAGAUACCCGAGUAGUCC